rnacentral:SRP_RNA from 1 species
GCCGGGCGUGGUGGUGCAUGCUUAAAGUCCCAGCUACUCGGGAGGCUGAGGUGGGAGGAUCGCUUGAGCCCAGGAGUUCUGGGCUGUAGUGCACUAUGCCACACUAAGUUCAGCAUCAAUACGGUGACCCCUUGGGAGCAGGGGACCACCAGGUUGCCUAAGGAGGGGUGAACCGGCCCAGGUUGGAAACAGAGCAGAUCAAAACUCCCGUGCUGAUCAGUAGUGGGAUCACGCCUGUGAAUAGUCACUGCACUCCAGCCUGAGCAACACGGCAAGAUGCUGUCUCU